GACGAACGCUGGCGGCGUGCUUAACACAUGCAAGUCGAACGGGCCCGCCCCUGUUUUUGGGGGUGGGUUGAGUGGCGAACGGGUGAGUAUCACGUGAGUAACCUGCCCCCUGCUCCUGGAUAACUGCUUGAAAGGGCGGCUAAUACGGGGUGUGCCGGCUGGUCCGCAUGGGCCUGGUCGGGAUAGUUUCAUCUUCGGGUGUUUCGGUGGGGGAUGGGCUCGCUGCCUAUCAGCUUGUUGGUGGGGUGAUGGCCCACCAAGGCGGUGACGGGUAGCCGGCCUGAGAGGGUGGGCGGCCACACUGGGACUGAGACACGGCCCAGACUCCUGCGGGAGGAAGCAGUGGGGGGUAUUGCACAAUGGGCGGAAGCCUGAUGCAGCGACGUCGCGUGAGGGAUGGAGGCCUUCGGGUUGUGAAGCUCUUUCUCCGGUGGUGAAGGCCCUGUCCGUUGCGGCGGGGUUGACGGUAGCCGGGUAUGAAGCGCCGGCUAACUACGUG
rnacentral:rRNA from 1 species